GAGUUUGAUCCUGGCUCAGGAUGAACGCUGGCGGCGUGCCUAAUACAUGCAAGUCGAGCGAACGGACGAGAAGCUUGCUUCUCUGAUGUUAGCGGCGGACGGGUGAGUAACACGUGGAUAACCUACCUAUAAGACUGGGAUAACUUCGGGAAACCGGAGCUAAUACCGGAUAAUAUUUUGAACCGCAUGGUUCAAAAGUGAAAGACGGUCUUGCUGUCACUUAUAGAUGGAUCCGCGCUGCAUUAGCUAGUUGGUAAGGUAACGGCUUACCAAGGCAACGAUGCAUAGCCGACCUGAGAGGGUGAUCGGCCACACUGGAACUGAGACACGGUCCAGACUCCUACGGGAGGCAGCAGUAGGGAAUCUUCCGCAAUGGGCGAAAGCCUGACGGAGCAACGCCGCGUGAGUGAUGAAGGUCUUCGGAUCGUAAAACUCUGUUAUUAGGGAAGAACAUAUGUGUAAGUAACUGUGCACAUCUUGACGGUACCUAAUCAGAAAGCCACGGCUAACUACGUGCCAGCAGCCGCGGUAAUACGUAGGUGGCAAGCGUUAUCCGGAAUUAUUGGGCGUAAAGCGCGCGUAGGCGGUUUUUUAAGUCUGAUGUGAAAGCCCACGGCUCAACCGUGGAGGGUCAUUGGAAACUGGAAAACUUGAGUGCAGAAGAGGAAAGUGGAAUUCCAUGUGUAGCGGUGAAAUGCGCAGAGAUAUGGAGGAACACCAGUGGCGAAGGCGACUUUCUGGUCUGUAACUGACGCUGAUGUGCGAAAGCGUGGGGAUCAAACAGGAUUAGAUACCCUGGUAGUCCACGCCGUAAACGAUGAGUGCUAAGUGUUAGGGGGUUUCCGCCCCUUAGUGCUGCAGCUAACGCAUUAAGCACUCCGCCUGGGGAGUACGACCGCAAGGUUGAAACUCAAAGGAAUUGACGGGGACCCGCACAAGCGGUGGAGCAUGUGGUUUAAUUCGAAGCAACGCGAAGAACCUUACCAAAUCUUGACAUCCUUUGACAACUCUAGAGAUAGAGCUUUCCCCUUCGGGGGACAAAGUGACAGGUGGUGCAUGGUUGUCGUCAGCUCGUGUCGUGAGAUGUUGGGUUAAGUCCCGCAACGAGCGCAACCCUUAAGCUUAGUUGCCAUCAUUAAGUUGGGCACUCUAAGUUGACUGCCGGUGACAAACCGGAGGAAGGUGGGGAUGACGUCAAAUCAUCAUGCCCCUUAUGAUUUGGGCUACACACGUGCUACAAUGGACAAUACAAAGGGCAGCGAAACCGCGAGGUCAAGCAAAUCCCAUAAAGUUGUUCUCAGUUCGGAUUGUAGUCUGCAACUCGACUACAUGAAGCUGGAAUCGCUAGUAAUCGUAGAUCAGCAUGCUACGGUGAAUACGUUCCCGGGUCUUGUACACACCGCCCGUCACACCACGAGAGUUUGUAACACCCGAAGCCGGUGGAGUAACCUUUUAGGAGCUAGCCGUCGAAGGUGGGACAAAUGAUUGGGGUGAAGUCGUAACAAGGUAGCCGUA
rnacentral:rRNA from 1 species